GCCGACGUACCCAAACGGUUAUAAGGGCGCAGUCUUGAAAACUGAUGUGCCAUGGAGAACAUGGUCUGUGGGUUCAAAUCCUACCGUCGGCG
rfam:Lachnospiraceae bacterium A2 genomic scaffold acPFL-supercont1.1, whole genome shotgun sequence.